rnacentral:rRNA from 1 species
AGGGAUCAUUAAAGAGUUGCAAAACUCCCUAAACCAUUGUGAACAUACCUUCAACGUUGCUUCGGCGGGUUGGCUCCGGGUCUCCCGGGGCCCCCGGCCCUACCCGGGCGCCCGCCGGAGGUAUCUAACUCUUGACAAUUGUAUGGCCUCUCUGAGUCUUUGUACUUAAUAAGUCAAAACUUUCAACAACGGAUCUCUUGGUUCUGGCAUCGAUGAAGAACGCAGCGAAAUGCGAUAAGUAAUGUGAAUUGCAGAAUUCAGUGAAUCAUCGAAUCUUUGAACGCACAUUGCGCCCGCCAGUAUUCUGGCGGGCAUGCCUGUUCGAGCGUCAUUUCAACCAUCAAGCCCCCGGCUUGUGUUGGGGACCUGCGGCUGCCGCAGGCCCUGAAAACCAGUGGCGGGCUCGCUAGUCACUCCGAGCGUAGUAAUACAUCUCGCUCAGGGCGUGCUGCGGGUUCCGGCCGUUAAAAAGCCUUAUUUACCCAAGGUUGACCUCGGAUCAGGUAGGAAGACCCGCUGAACUUAAGCAUAUCAAUAAGCGGAGGAAAAGAAACCAACAGGGAUUGCCCCAA